UGGAGAAGGUAAAACUUCAGCUGAAUUAAAGAUGGCUGCAGCCACGUGUUCGUUUGUCGAAUGGCUGCCACUUCGACUACUUCGGCUGCAUCCGAAGUGCCAAUAUAAAGCUGCAGAACUGCUCCAAUAUAAUUUAAAGGGGCAGCAAGUCUUUUAAAAUCCAAUCUGCUAAAAUAGUCUUUAACAGGCAAUAUCUUCCAAGGGCCAUAGUCUUAAAGGGGCAUUGUUCCCAAAAGUCACAGUAUGUCCC